rnacentral:rRNA from 1 species
CCUACGGGAGGCAGCAGUGGGGAAUAUUGCUCAAUGGGGGAAACCCUGAAGCAGCAACGCCGCGUGGGGGAUGAAGGUUCUCUGGUUGUUAACUCUUUUUGUUAGAGAAGAAAAAGACGGUAUCUUCCGACUAUGCACCGGCUCACUCCGAGACAGCCGCCGCGGUAAUAUGGAAGGGGCAAGCGUUACCCGGAAUCACUGGGCGUAAAGGGCGCGUAGGCGGGAUAGCAAGUCCGGUGUGAAAUCCUAGGGCUUAACCCUAGACCAGCAGUUGAAACUGGGCUUCUCGAGUAUGCGAGAGGUAGGUGGAAUUCUUGGUGUAGGGGUAAAAUGCGUAGAUAUCAAGAAGAAUACUGAUUGCGAAGGCAGCCUGCUGGAGCAUAACUGACGCUGAGGCGCGAAAGCGUGGGUAGCGAACAGGAUUAGAUACCCGAGUAGUC